rnacentral:rRNA from 1 species
AUGCCGAGGAUCCGGGAAGAAGAACGACCCCGCAAGGGGCAAAGGGCACCACCACCGUGCCAUUUGACGGCGGCGCGUUCACUCUGGAGGUGCUCGCGCACGCCGGCAAAGGGGACAGGGAGGGUGCCCCCAUAUCGCGCGCCGCUGCUUGCGGCUAUCUCUCUAACAGAAGGCGGUGGUGGAUGGGUGAAAUGGAUAAGGGGAAAGGAAAGGAGGACCCUCGCCGCGCAGGUGAGCCUCGCCGUCGGCGGCUGGCCGGCGGCCAGAGAGAACCACAGGCGAGAAGGGGAGCAGAGGACCGCUCUGCCGCGUCAUUUUUUCUCUCUGUCGUUGGAAGAUAGGACAGAGGGGAGGGGGAAAGGGAAAAGGAGGCGUGCGCGCGGCGCGGUGGAUUUCGCGGUCGCCGCCGCCGGCGGCCGGGCCGGGCGGCCGGGGGCGCUGCUCUGUUUCGGUGUCACGAGAGAGAGACAGAAUGGGGUCGAACAGAUCGAGAGAAUGGGGCUAGGUUUCCCAUCGGGAGCUCUCUCCCAGGUUUUGGUCUAG